rnacentral:misc_RNA from 1 species
GGAAGUAAAAGUCGCAACAAGGUUUCCGUAGGUGAACCUGCGGAAGGAUCAUUAUUGUAUAACCGAGGUGCGAGGGCUGUCGCUGACCCGAAAGGUCGUGCACGCCCGAGUGCCCUCACACACAUCCAUCUCACCCCUAUGUGCACCACCGCGUGGGUCCCCCUUUGGCUUGUUCGGAGGGGGGCUUACGUUUUCACACAAACUUUGUAUGCAGUGUAGAAUGUAUUUUUUGUUUUUGCGAUCACGCAAUCAAUACAACUUUCAACAACGGAUCUCUUGGCUCUC